rnacentral:rRNA from 1 species
UACGAGGGGUGCAAGCGUUGCUCGGAAUUAUUGGGCGUAAAGGGUAGGUAGGUGGUCUCGUUUGUCUGGGGUGAAAGCCUUGAGCUUAACUCAAGGAGUGCCUCAGAAACGGCGAGACUAGAGUUCUGGAGAGGGUCGUGGAAUUCCCGGUGUAGCGGUGAAAUGCGUAGAGAUCGGGAGGAACACCAGAGGCGAAGGCGGCGACCUGGACAGAUACUGACACUCAACUACGAAAGCAUGGGGAGCAAACAGG